rnacentral:lncRNA from 1 species
GACAACUCAACGUCGCGUCGCCGAGCGUCUCUAGUGGGAGGUGGGUAGCGUCGGCAGCGAAUUUCACAAACGUGGAGCUUCCAAAAUAGCAUCCUCGUAUCCAAAAAUGCAUGGAACCCGCGGCUAUUUUCCCCGACCAUAUCACGAGUCAGUCACACGAUGAAACAGCGAUUUCUUGUUUCUAUCUCACGAUGUGAGGGCAAUUUUUGAUUUUCUUAUACAUAUUAGUUAUUAGUUUCGAAAAGCACCAUGGAUUUUGAGCUACAGCUGUUGAAGUAGUUCUUAAUGAAGCAAAAAAAUAGUAUCUAGAAAAAAAUACCAAAAUCAAUACUAUACAGGUCAAGUAGCUUCACUAAUUCAGCGCUUAACAAAAUCGUACUCAGAGUGUGGGUAAGCUACAUACAAGAGGAAGCAGUUAGCAAUAUAGCAACUGGAAUACAACUUUAUAACCAACAUGUUUCAAAAAAUUUGUCAGAACGUCACCAAAUUAAUAUUGCAAAAAUUUGAUUUUUUAUAAUUUGUUUAAAUUUUUUUUUAGUAAAUGUAGCAAUAAUUUCGAAAUUAUGGCAUUUAGGCAUAGGGAAUAUAACAUGAAAAAUAAUCAGUAUUUCUCAAGGUUUGCCAAACGCAAAAAAUAUACGGGGUGUUCCUUUUAAAAUAAGAAAGUUCAUUAGAUUUCCAGUAAAACGGAAGAUCUGUCGACAAUGUAAUUACCACUAUAUUAUUGACCACAUUAGAACAUCCUUGCCCACCAAAAUUUAUAAAAAUCGUUUAAGCGGUUGCCGAGAAAUUGCCGUGUUUCCAUACUUUCUCGCUGCCCUGUAUAUCGUAUUCACUACAUAAAUAUCGUAUGCAAAAUUUAUAAGUGCUCUCAAUUUAAAUAAAUGGAAAGGUUUUUAUUUCUAUUUAUUAUAGACUGUAGUUAAAUAUGUACAAUAAAAUAUCGAUAUAAAAAUAAACAAGCAUUUAGAGGGUUUUACUUUUUGCAAAGGUCAAAAAAUAAAUGUUUAAUAGAGGAAAUUUAUAUUUUUUUUGUAUUUCAAUAAAAAUUAGCCGUUAA